rnacentral:antisense_RNA from 1 species
AAGAUGUCAGAAAAGAGUCAGAAAGCCCAGGUGAUAGAAUAAGUGCCAAGAACAUAUACACCAUGGAAUACUGUGCAGCCAUAAAAAGGAAUGAGUUCAUGUCCUUUGCAGGGACAUGGAUGAAGCUGGAAACCAUCAUUCUCAGCAAACUAACACAGCAACAGAAAACCAAACACCGCAUGUUCUCAUUCAUAAGUGGGAGUUGAACAAUGAGAACACAUGGACACAGAUUGGUAAAACUUCAACGGUUGGAUGACACCCUCUUUUGGUGAUGCCGUGGGGAACGCAACAUGAUCCAACCCCAAUGAAAGAGAAGUUGCAAUAACCGCUAAGACUGCAGAUGCAUUUGACUCAGCAAACCCUCUUCAAGAAAUGCAUAUGAAAAAAACUCAUGUUUCAGGUUAUUCAUUACAACAUUGUUUGUAAUAGCAAAAGGUGGAUUAGAAAUAGUCCAAAUGUCUGUCCGUAGGGGACUGUUUAAUAAACUAUUGUCAGUCCCUUA